GAUGUAACCCAAAUUCUGACUUCUGUCAUGUGUGCAUUUGCUACGUGCUUAAAAGUACAGGACAGCCUGUGCUGAAGGCCUCAGCUGAACUUUAGACUUAGAAGACUUCUAUAUCAAUAUGGAAAUAAGAAAAGUUAAAGAUAAAAGAUUUCCACGAAAUGUUUAUACUUCUAAAAACAGCAUGAUUCAGAGACGUUUAUAUUCCAUCACACGUCUGUUAUUUGGAGUCAUUCGAACCCCCCCUGUGGGUUCUUAACAAAAGAGAACUAGACGAUUAAUCUUCUGAGGUAGGACAGUUGGACUUUGAACAUACAAUCUGCUGACCUUACGAAAUAGGGAACUGAAAUUAGGCUGCAAGGGCUAGGAUGUAUUUUCGGAGAAAGAUGACGAAGGUUUUGAUAUCUGUCUGAGACGUGGCUGCAGAGACGUGGCAUGAGUUUGAUACAGAUUGGCAGGGCUAUAAGAGGAGGCAAAUUCACCCCUCCUUACUCUCUCUCGCUCAGACUGAGUUCAGCCUAGACCCUUCUAGCUGGACUUAGUCUUUUCUCACCUUCUUUAUCUUUGAUUCCGGGCUCACUUGAAUACUUUGAACUUCUCUCAGGUUUUAUUCAUCUCAGAUAUGAUUAUUAUUAUAUUAUUUGUUAUUAUAUGAAUAUUAGUAUAACUUUUGACUUUGGAUAUACAGGUAUUGUUGUAUACUUUGUAUUAUUAUUUUUAACAUCUUGAUUACUUUUGAAUAUUAUAAUGCAUUUUGUAUUACUUUUAAUUGGGCAACAUCCAUCAUACAUGGAUUGCUUUUAAAACUAUAUUAAUUUUGGGAUUUGUAUUUUCUAUAUUUGAAGCUGAUUUUAAUACUUACUAAUCUGUUUGCAAGUUAUGAGUUGUAUUCUCAUUUCCUAUAUUCUUUGAAUAAAUUUGCAUACUAAAAUACCACCCCACCGUCUGACCAAGAUUGAAGUCUCUAAUUUUUUGCAUCAGUUUUGGAGGCACCCGCUGGAGAUCGUUGAAGUUUUCAUUUCAUUAAGUUUUGAUGCAACGCAAGACAAAAUAAAGAGAGGUCCUGCACCUCCUCCAGUAUUCCAGUAUCCUCUUCGGAGAGAAAGAGAGAGCGGCACAGGCAAUUGUGACCCAGCUCGAGAAAGGGAUUGUGGUAAGAUGUGCCUCUCAAUGUGAUUCACAUGUGGCCUGUAAGAAAGCCAGACGAUAACUAUAGGCUUACUAUAAAUUACACCGCAUUGAAUGCUGUGACCACCAAAGCAACCCCACUGUUGCCAAUCAUUCAACCAUUUUAAAAGAAUCGUGCGUGCCGUCCGUUAUAAUUCAAUAUUGUGAUGACAUUCUUUUUGCAUCUCCAAAUAAGGUGCAGCAUCUGAGUGUACUCACCCUCCUGCACAAACGGGAAGUACAGCUGUUUCAACCAUUAUUACAUUUCUAGGUCAGAGUGUUGGUCGUGAGGGAAAAAGACCUUUUCCAGAUCGGGUCAUAACAAUUAUAAAAUUAAAGAAGCCAACCACAGUCACUGGUCUAAGAUCAUUAAUGGGGCUAUUUAAUUUUAAUCGGGUUUAUUUCCCUGAUUUUUCUGAUUUGGCUGAACCUCUAACCGAGGCUCUUAAGGAAGGCCUUCCGGGUGCUUCCCCUCUAGAGUGGACAGCAGACAUGGCUGAGCCUUUCACUCUUCUCAAAUCCGCACUAGCCUCUCUCCUGUUAAAUGACCAAAACCGCUCCACAUUUGGACACAUGUAGGCCAGGAUGCUUACAACUGCGUGCUGGGACAGCAUAAAGGUGACAAAAGUUUUGGAACUGUUGGAUACUACUCAAUUGUGAUUCCUUCUUCUAUGAAAGGACAGAUGCCAUGCUUGAUGGCGUUGGACUGUGCAGAGUGAGCACUGAAGUUCACUGAGCACAUCGUCGGCUACAACCAGACUAUUUUACAUAGCCCACACUGCUUUUUACAUUUGCUACCUGAAACAAAGGUGAAAUCGAUCUCAAAUCAGCGACCUGCUAAGUGGGAAAUUGCUCUAAUGAGUCCUCAGCUUACUGUUGUUACAGAUAACCGGACGAACCCUGCCUCCCUGAUGGACAACGAAGGGAGUGCACAUGACUGUGCUGCGGUGGUUACUUGUGACAGAGGACAUUUCGUCAGAAAUUAGACAUUUGCAAAUGUCAUGGACAUGUUCGUGGAUGGCAGCAGCUUUUAUGAGGGGGAAACACGCUACACAGGUUGGGCGGUAGUAGGGGGGAGGAGGGGCUAAGUCUUGGGCUGAAGGGUCGCUACGGGGAGGAAGUGCUCAGAUCGCUGAACUGCAUGCUUUGAAAGCUGCCUUAAAUUUUACACUUAAAUUAACUGCAAGCGAAAAUAGCUCCAUUUAUGUGAAUAUUUUUACUGACAGUGCCUACAGUUAUCAUGUAGUGCGGAGUUAUGGCCCUGUCUGGAAACGUCGCGGUUAUAUGACCACCGCCGGUACGCCAAUAAGUCAUCAAACCAGUAUUAAAGAAAUUCUUGAAACAUGCAAGAACAUUUCACCUAACAGUGUUGCGGUUUGCGAGGUUACAGGUCACAGUAGUUUCAAUGAUUGGUGGGCAAAAGGAAACUCGCUAGCUGAUAAGGCUGUGAGAGAGGCGGCCAGGGGUGCAUCACUUGGAGAGGUAACUGCAAUUUUCCCUGUUCAUCCAAAUUGUGCAGGAUCAGAAACUCUAUCUAAAUUGUACACAAAUGAAGAUAAUGAAAUAUGUCAAAAAGGUUAGGAGCUAUUUUAACUGAAGAAGGAAUUAAUGCUCUAAAUGAAAAGGGUGUUCCGCCUAGCAGAUAUUAAUUGAUCUAUACCACAGGAUUGCACACCAAGGGGUUCAUAAAACUAAUACUAUGUUACAACAAACAUGGUUUUGACCAGAGAUGUUACGAACUGUGAGGGACAGACUGUCCAGAUAAAUCCAUCAUUUACAAACAAAGCCACGAUUAUGAAGAGGUAUGAUAUCAAUAAGCCACAGUCCUCGCCCGCGAGGACCUUUUACACAUUGACAGGUAGAUUUUAUUUUUGUACCCUCUGAUCAUGGGUACACCUUAUGCGCAUUUAAGGAUGCCCGUUCAGUGCCCUCAGCGUCCAAAAUGCUGGAGACUUAAAGACUGCUGCAUUUAAUUUAACGGCUAAAAUCCUGUACAAGUGGGGGAUAAGAGCUAUGGUUCAGAAAUAGGGAAUUUAGGUCCAAUGUCUUCCAGGUAUGAAGGUCCUUACUCAGUGUUGCCGACUACUCCAACUUUUCUCUCUACUCAUUGAAAUCGAGCCAGGCUUGACUCGAUGGAAGCAUCUUGCACAAGUGAAGCCCCUGUUACAGCUUGCUUAUACUAAACAAUAUCUCUCAGUGCACAAUAGAUUUUCUUUUAUAGACUAAGGGUACCCUUUCUAAAAUUAAGGUUGUAAUCAAUGUUUGUUUUCAACCUCUGUGAGGUGAUUGAGGGUCUGACUUAUGUCAGGAGUGUAAUAAUUGAUUGAUUCAAUUAUCGAUUAUUUAUUUAGUGAUUGUUCACUUGCUUCCAGAGAAUCAAAAUUAACCAAAAUUCACCAUAUCUGGUCCUUAGGUUGUUGAUGAUACCGUUUUCACUUUGAAUUUGUCCAACAGGUGUGAGCUCUAUCAGACGAAUUGCUGCUAAGGACGAACAAUGAUUAAUGAUUAAUUGUUUACUUCUCUCCAGGUUUCCAAUGCUGAGUUCCCCUGGAUCUAAUGUAUUUAUUUGUUUAUAAAAUGAUGAAAUGAAACUGAAAACCAUAAUGUUUACAUGUAACAAUUGUGAUUAAUGUUGUUUUAUCUGUCUUGUUGUGUCCUUGUUCGUGUGUGUGUGUAAAUGUUAUAUGUAAUGUUUGUCGCUUCGCUUUGGCAUUAUGUGUGUGUGUGUGUGUGUGUUUUUGUUUGUGUUCUUUUUGUUUCCACAUAUUUCUGUUCCUACUACUCUAAAACUAAACAGGUAUGAGUGCAUGCUGAUACGGAACCUAUCCUGCGUACAUUUACCACACGACUGGUUCUAAGGGUGACCCUUUGGUGUGACUUCUGCAACAGUGCAGCGCAUUGACGAUUCGGGAGAGGUUGCUGUGCUCGUAGCUGGACAUCAGUGUUUGAUCCCAAGAACUGGACGCAUCGUCAUCACAUCGCACGCUAACUCUACAUCAUCUGAGAGACUUGUGCUUUCAUCUACCAGCUGAUAUAUAGAUUUACAAAUCCCUACAUCAAGAUGCCUCACAAGAUUAUUGAUCAAAAAGAUUCUUUUACUCCUAUUGCUGUCAGCAAUGAUGAAGAAAUGUAUGAAUUAGAGGUGAAGGGUAAGGAAAGAUACGAGAUGUUGAAAAAGAUCAACGAAAGUUUGGAAAUUUGCGACAUGAUACCCCAAUCUGAUAAGGACAAAUAUCUUAAGAAGCUACCCAUUAAGAAGAGAAAGUAUGAUGAUAAGUUUAGAGAUGGAAAGAAGGGUAUGCUGUAGUAAGUCCUCGACCCAGCAAAAGUCCAGGUGAGGUCAGGGGUCGGAUGCUUUUAGUGCUCCUCGUCUGAUCAGCUUGGUGAAGAAUUCCUGUCAACUUAACGCGGCUGGGGUUAAAGAGGUAUCUACAGUCUACCUGAAAAGAUUCAUUCACUUUUAUAUUUCCUUUAUGCUUACACGAUUAAGUGCUUAUCUGAAAUGUUUUACUUACUCAUUUUUCCGCAUAUGUAUUUGUUACCUUUGACUAUUAUGUAUCUUAUUUUCAAGGGAAAGGAUUUUGGGUGCGAGUCUUUUUGUCAAGACUCGAGUGGGGGACUGAUGUAACCCAAAUUCUGACUUCUGUCAUGUGUGCAUUUGCUACGUGCUUAAAAGUACAGGACAGCCUGUGCUGAAGGCCUCAGCUGAACUUUAGACUUAGAAGACUUCUAUAUCAAUAUGGAAAUAAGAAAAGUUAAAGAUAAAAGAUUUCCACGAAAUGUUUAUACUUCUAAAAACAGCAUGAUUCAGAGACGUUUAUAUUCCAUCACACGUCUGUUAUUUGGAGUCAUUCGAACCCCCCCUGUGGGUUCUUAACAAAAGAGAACUAGACGAUUAAUCUUCUGAGGUAGGACAGUUGGACUUUGAACAUACAAUCUGCUGACCUUACGAAAUAGGGAACUGAAAUUAGGCUGCAAGGGCUAGGAUGUAUUUUCGGAGAAAGAUGACGAAGGUUUUGAUAUCUGUCUGAGACGUGGCUGCAGAGACGUGGCAUGAGUUUGAUACAGAUUGGCAGGGCUAUAAGAGGAGGCAAAUUCACCCCUCCUUACUCUCUCUCGCUCAGACUGAGUUCAGCCUAGACCCUUCUAGCUGGACUUAGUCUUUUCUCACCUUCUUUAUCUUUGAUUCCGGGCUCACUUGAAUACUUUGAACUUCUCUCAGGUUUUAUUCAUCUCAGAUAUGAUUAUUAUUAUAUUAUUUGUUAUUAUAUGAAUAUUAGUAUAACUUUUGACUUUGGAUAUACAGGUAUUGUUGUAUACUUUGUAUUAUUAUUUUUAACAUCUUGAUUACUUUUGAAUAUUAUAAUGCAUUUUGUAUUACUUUUAAUUGGGCAACAUCCAUCAUACAUGGAUUGCUUUUAAAACUAUAUUAAUUUUGGGAUUUGUAUUUUCUAUAUUUGAAGCUGAUUUUAAUACUUACUAAUCUGUUUGCAAGUUAUGAGUUGUAUUCUCAUUUCCUAUAUUCUUUGAAUAAAUUUGCAUACUAAAAUACCA